rnacentral:tRNA from 1 species
UGGAAAGUAGUAUACAGGUAGUAUUGAAAGUUUUGGGCUUUCAGGUUUAAGUUCGAUUCUUGACUUUCUAA